GACGAACGCUGGCGGCGUGCCUAAUACAUGCAAGUCGAACGCAGUGGGUACGGGUGAGUAACACGUGGGUAACCUCCCAUCAGAGGGGAUAACACUUGGAGACAGGUGCUAAACCGAUACUGAUGGAUGGACCCGCGGGUCAUUAGCUAGUUGGUGAGGUAACGGCUCACCAAGGCCACGAUGAAUAGGCAACCUGAGAGGGUGAGUGGCCACUAUGGGACUGAGACACUGCCCAGACUCCUACGGGAGGCGGCAGUAGGGAAUCUGCGGAAAUGGACGAAAGUCUGACCGAGCAACGCCGCGGGAGUGAAGAAGGUUUUCGGAUCGUAAAACUCUGUUGUUAGAGAAGCGGUAUCUAACCAGAAAGCCACGGCUAACUACGUGCCAGCAGCCGCGGUAAUAC
rnacentral:rRNA from 1 species